GAGCACGUAGGUGGGUUUGUAAGUCGGAUGUGAAAGCCUUCUGUUCAACGGAAGAAUUGCAUCUGAAACUGCGAGUCUUGAGUGUAGGAGGGGAGAAUGGAACUUCUGGUGGAGCGGUGAAAUGCGUAGAUAUCAGAAGGAACGCCGGCGGCGAAAGCGAUUCUCUGGCCUAUUACUGACACUCAGUGUGCGAAAGCUAGGGGAGCAAACGGGAUUAGAUACCCCGGUAGUCCUAGCCGUAAACGAUGGGCACUAAGUAGAGGGGUUUU
rnacentral:rRNA from 1 species